GGUCCGCGCGCGGGCAUUAGCAAAGAACCGCAGAAAUAAUCUAUAAGUACAAUAAAAUGAGGUGGCAAUCGUGUGGUUCGUUACUAAAGUGAGCAUUCAAUGCAAGUGUAAAUAUUGAUAUUUUGUAAAGUGAGUGUUUCACUGUAAAGUGAGUAUUUGAUGACAUGUACUGUAUAGAUGCGUUUGUGUGUAGUUGAUGAAUACGUGGGACGUGGUUACUCUCUCACUCUCGGGUUCAGUGACAUCACUCCUGCAAGGCAUGCAGCUGACCUAGAGAGUUGUAAGCGCUCAUCACCCGUGUAUCUCCAAAUUAUUUAUGAGAGCGUUAUUUGAGGGUUAAAUAUGCACCGUAAUUCAAAUACCUGUGCGUGCUGGAUAGGUAUUGGAAAACACAAUGAUUAGGCUGAUCUGCAUGCCAGUCUUGGGGGAGAUCACAUCCCCGUAGUGCGCAGUGCAGAGUCUGUUGCGGGUGUUGUUUCCUCUCGUUUGUGAAGAGUUGAUAAGAGAGAGCUCAUCCCGAUGAUUACAAAAUUCACGGUCCUAUCGCCUGAGCCCCUGUGGCCCUGCGACAGUCUCAUUGAAGGAUGAAGGGAUGAGAGGUGCAGUACGAGAUGGUGGGGAGUGAAGGGAUGAGAGGUGCAGUACGAGAUGGUGGGGAGUGAAGGGAUGAGAGGUGCAGUACGAGAUGGUGGGGAUGAAGGGAUGAGAGGUGCAGUACGAGAUGGUGGGAGUGAAGGGAUGAGAGGUGCAGUACGAGAUGGUGGGAGUGAAGGGGGGGGGGGGUGGCGGGGAGGCGGGGGCGAGCGUGUG